UAUCGACACCAGCAGCAGCGCCGGUCUAAUCGACAGCGGAAUACCAACUUCGUUUGCUUCUUCCUCUUUAGCAGCAGCAUCCGCAGGGCACCACCACUAUCAAGCGUCGCAAGUCGGCGGCGUGGACGGAGAAGGUCGGGGUCAUGGACACGUAACCGGACCCGGUGGAUCACAUUGCGUUGCCGUUUGUGCUCAAGGACGAACCGCUGCAGGUGGGUGCGUCGAAGGCACCAGGUUACUGUGGAACUGACGUAUCAUCGCCGAUCAGCUCCAAAGCAUCGAGCAGCACAACGACACGAAUAGCAGUGGCCACAUGCUGCGACACUUGCAACAGCAAUUUCAGCCCGGCCGAAUCCGUCGUCAAAUGGGUAGAACGUCAUCAAAUCUCCAUAGCAGGUCCCCCGCCGAGCGGGCUAGCCAAUCAUCAACACAUCGUCCAGAUCUGAGAAAUUGGACCGGCCAGAUCCGUAGACUACGGUAGUUUGAUGAACUCGCGCGAUCAUCCACCACCGUUGGAAGAAAGUUUGAGGCCACAUGCCUCAAUGUUAGACGCGUAGGCAUCUCAGAUCUGCUCGGAUCUGCUUCAGUCAUCCUACCAAAGCCACAUGAAACAGGCCGCGGGAAGCAAUCUAAGCAACAUUUCACCAACCCAAAACAUCGUCCUUUUCGGCAAUUCCACCUUCGCAGAACCAUCAAUCGGCAAACUGUCGAACCAUGUCCCGGACCGAUCGGAAAGUACCAGAACCAUUCACCAAACGGAUGGGGCCCUGGAAUGCCACCCUGCCUGGGAAGCAACCAGCAGUCACAUGCAAUCGCGGCGGAGGAAUUGGCAGCAACCGACCAGCACUACCAAUCGCGUGAAAAAAGGAGUACGAUGGGAUUUUAUUUAUUAUAAUACGUUCUUCGACAAAAAAUCAAGAAUACAAGAGAAUUAGUGCAAUUUGUUAAAUUAAACAUCCUUGAUCAUAA